UGGAAAGAGACAUAGUUCUAGGUGAGGGAAAAAUGACAAGUAUGUGAGGGUGACACCUCCCCCAUGUGACAGUUCCCAUCUCCAGCUCAGAAGCUAGUGAUUGUUGUACCUUUUAAGUAUUUUAUUGAGGAGUUGAAUUAAUGUGGAUCAUGACCUAGUGUGUGUUUGCCUUUUGCAGGAUUUGUAGAUCGUUUUGAGCUUAGUGAAGCUGGGCUUGAGCUUGUUGGGGACAUCUACCUAUGUCAUUCUUCUUCAAAGAAGUUUGAGAGAUUAAUUGUUUCUCGCCGUUUCUUUGAAGAAUUCAACCUGAUGGCUUGCAAAGAUACUUUUGCCUUUCUAGGAUGUGAUUGUUUUGACGUUGUUCAUCUUUGUUGACCUGGGUGCUUUACAUUUUUGCAGAAAAAACUUUGAGAAGAGGAGAUGCCCCACUUUGACAUGGCCACCAUCCUCGCAGCCACCCCAUAGCCUAGAGAAAGGGGUUAAAGCCCUCAUCUGUUGUUACCAAGCAGGUAAGGGACCAAGUAGAGUCAGCAGGGAGGUUGCUACCCAAGAAGCCACCACCAUAGUAGAGAGAAAGGGGUUAAAACUCUUAUCUAUUGUUACAAGUAGGUAAGGGACCAAGUGAAGAGGGUCAUUAGGGAGGCUACUACCCAAGAGGGUGAUAGAAGACCUCCCAUCAAGGAUAAGGAGAAGAAUAAGGUGGAAGAAGUCCCCCAAAAUAAGCAAAAAAUUUCUACUACCAGAGAGGGUGAGUUUAUGGCUAGCUCACUACCUCGCUCCGAAGUCCUUGCUGGGGAGAAACUGAUGGCAGCGUUUAUUGUCGAAGCUAAGGAAACCCAAAAGAAGCUAAUUGCUGUGGAGUUCUCAAGGCAAGAAUCUUCGAAGUGGGCAAGGACCUCAAGUGGGUCCUCACCCGAAAUUUGCUGUCUCACCAUGGAACAAUGAACUGGCCCUGGAGGUUUUGUCCAUGUUGCCGACGAAAAGUUUAAACUGCAACUCUACUUUUCACAAGUUCUAGACGGACCGUUGGCAGUCCUUCAUGGAGACCAUUAAUUGAAUGGAAAUUUUCACCACAAUGGUGAGCCAAUCUGCAAGGGCUUAUGGGGUCGCUAUAGAGGCGAAGGCCCUUUUUAAAAAACCUUUACAAUAAAAAUAAAGAAUUUACAAUAAGACCUCCCAGACAGAGGAGGCAGCUAAGAAGGUGAAAGCGGAGGUAGAGGCUGUUAAGAAGUAGCAUGCUGAAGACUCCAUAAAGCUUGCCUUUGCCUUGGCAAAGAUUAAAAACUUGUAGAAGCAAGUACACUAGUGUCAGAGUGAAGUGGCUUCCAUGACAAGGCGAGUGGAGAAUUCUGAUGCUCACCAAAUGCUAGUGGCUGAGGCCUUAGAGGCAGCAAUUAAAGAGAAUGUUGUUCUAAAAGAUCGGGUGCGAGAGUUAGACUCCAGAGUGUCGGGCCUAAUCGAGGAGCUAGAGAUGACGAGGAAGGAGGCAGAGUCUGUUAGUAGUGGGGCUAAAAAGCACUAUACAUCUAACUUUCACCUGACUCAGGCAUACCAAGGUUUUGCAAAAUAUUGGUGAAGGUACGCCUAUGCGAAGGUGGUGGAGUGGAUUGAAGUCAACUUCUAGACCUUCAAUACUUCUAAACUGAGGUAUGAGUUCUUGGAUGAGGGAGAAGAACCUCAAACUUCUACGGAGGAUAGCCAUGUGAUAGAAAUCAAAUACGAAGCCACCGAAGAAGAGGCUGAAGUCAAAGAAGUCGUGGCUUUCGAUGCCAUAAUAGCCUUUGUACCUCCUCCGCCCCCACCUGUUUAGAUAGGGCAACUUGUAAUUAUUUUAUUUUACUUUGUAAUUUGGCCUAGAAGCCCACUUUUGUAAUAUUAAUUGAUCAUUAAUGGAAGUCCUUUUUUGUUUAUAU
rnacentral:lncRNA from 1 species